AAAAAAGAGGUUCGAAAACUCCCUCUCUAAAAAACUAAGGAGAU
rfam:Sporosarcina psychrophila strain DSM 6497, complete genome.